UGAAGCUUGACGACACAUCUUCUGAGCAGCCUAAAGUUAUGGAGGGUACAACACCACCCAUACCAUCCAGGGAUGCUGAAGAUCACUUGGGCGAGAACGUGUCACCGCAACAUCCUACAAACACAGAUGUUUCAGUUAUUAAGAGAGCUAAACUUUUUGCUGCCGAUGGCAAACUAAGUCUGAUUGCUGGUAUUCCUUUAAAUGUGGGCUC